ensembl:antisense Gm11614 predicted gene 11614
UGGAUAGCUCAGUCCCCACUCUCAUGGGCCUUUCUGUACAGCAGUGGCCAAGUCAUUGUUGCCACGGGGCUACAUGGCACAGGAAGAAGACACACUAGGCAUGAAGCCCAGGCCUGGACCUGGACUGGGGGGUGGGGGGGUGGCCACGCCUACUUCUAGAAGGGAGGUAGGAAGUGAUUAGUUAGGGGAAAGAGGAGGUGUAGAUAGCACUGGCUGUUUUUUUCUAGAAGACUAGGAGAACUGAAUGCCUCCAAAUCCACAACCCUGCCUACGUUGUGGAUUAAAGUCCAGGACUUCUGCUCUAACAUCGAAGAUCAGGAGUUCUCUUUACCAGGCCUCUCUGCCUGGUUAGCAGGUGCAAUGGUUAACUUCGAUGGUAACUUAACUGGUCUGGAAGCAUCUACGAAAGAACUAGAGGUGGCUCAGCGGCGGCUAAGAGCAUUUGCUCACGUCCAGAGAACCUGAUUCAAUUCCCAGCACCCACAUGGCAGCUCACAACUGUCUGCAACUCCAGUUCCAGGGGUCUGACACUCACUCCUGGCCUCUCUGGGCACCAGGCGCACAUAUGGUUCAUAUACAGAUAACAGUGCAUAGACGCAUAUGUAGGUAAAACACCCACACACAUAAACAAAUUAAUUUUUUUUAAAAAGUACCUAAGAGGCUAGUACAACACACCUAGGGACAUAGGGUAGAUAUUCCACAGCCAUGAGGACAUGAGGGCGGUCCUAAGAGAUG